GCGGGAGUGGUGGAACGGUAGACACGUCGCGCUUAGGACGCGGUGCCUUCGGGCGUGCGGGUUCGACUCCCGCCUCCCGCA
rnacentral:tRNA from 1 species